rnacentral:tRNA from 1 species
GGGCUUUUAGCUCAGUGGUUAGAGCGCUCGACUCCCAUGCCAGUGUGUGUUGACCUGGUUGUCCUCAAAACUUGAGAGCCCU